CCUACGGGAGGCAGCAGUGAGGAAUAUUGGUCAAUGGGCGCGAGCCUGAACCAGCCAAGUAGCGUGAAGGAUGACUGCCCUACGGGUUGUAAACUUCUUUUAUAAAGGAAUAAAGUGAGGCACGUGUGCCUUUUUGUAUGUACUUUAUGAAUAAGGAUCGGCUAACUCCGUGCCAGCAGCCGCGGUAAUACGGAGGAUCCGAGCGUUAUCCGGAUUUAUUGGGUUUAAAGGGAGCGUAGAUGGGUUGUUAAGUCAGUUGUGAAAGUUUGCGGCUCAACCGUAAGAGUGCAAUUGAUACUGGCAGCCUUGAGUGCAGUGGAGGUAGGCGGAAUUCGUGGUGUAGCGGUGAAAUGCUUAGAUAUCACGAAGAACUCCGAUUGCGAAGGCAGCUUACUAAACUGUCACUGACACUGAUGCUCGAAAGUGUGGGUAUCAAACAGGAUUAGAUACCCUAGUAGUC
rnacentral:rRNA from 1 species